AAAGAGCAACAUUACCAACAAAAUAAAGAAAAAAAAAAAAAGAGAGAAAGGGAGAAUUGAGGCUGUGGGUCAUAAUAGGACUAUAUAAUGGUUGUUGGAGCAUCAAAGCCAACUGUAGUGGCUGAUGCUGAUAGGUUUUCCAGUAUGAAAAGGUUUAAAGAAAAGAGAUGGAACUCUAGAAGGAGGAUGCUUGGGGGAAGAUUGUUAGGUGAAUGAUCUCCAAAAUCAUAUAAGUGUAGAAUAUAUUUAUG